rnacentral:rRNA from 1 species
AUACGGAGGGUGCAAGCGUUAAUCGGAAUUACAGGGCGUAAAGCGUACGUAGGCGGUUCGUUAAGUUAGAUGUGAAAGCCCCGGGCUUAACCUGGGAACUGCAUUUAAAACUGGCGAACUAGAGUUGAGUAGAGGGGAGUGGAAUUUCAGGUGUAGCGGUGAAAUGCGUAGAGAUCUGAAGGAACACCAGUGGCGAAGGCGACUCCCUGGACUCGAACUGACGCUGAGGUACGAAAGCGUGGGUAGCAAACGGGAUUAGAAACCCUAGUAGUCC